CGCAGCCGCGGUAAUUCCAGCUCCAAUAGCGUAUAUUAAAGUUGUUGCAGUUAAAAAGCUCGUAGUUGAAUUUCGAGACCGGUUUAUUGGUCGUGCUUUUGUACGUACUGGUAUUAUUGGUUUCUCCUUUCUGACGAAUCUUAAUGCCAUUAAUUUGGUGUUUUGAGGAAUCAGGACUGUUACUUUGAAGAAAUUAGAGUGUUUAAAGCAGGCUCACGCUUGAAUACAUUAGCAUGGAAUAACGGAAUAGGACGUUUGAUUCUAUUUUGUUGGUUUCUAGGAUCGACGUAAUGAUUAAUAGGGAUAGUUGGGGGCAUUAGUAUUCAAUUGUCAGAGGUGAAAUUCUUGGAUUUAUUGAAGACUAACUACUGCGAAAGCAUUUGCCAAGGAUGUUUUCAUUAAUCAAGAACGAAAGUUAGGGGAUCGAAGACGAUCAGAUACCGUCGUAGUCUUAACCAUAAACUAUGCCGACUAGGGAUCGGAUGAUGUAAUUUUUAAU
rnacentral:rRNA from 1 species